rnacentral:tRNA from 1 species
CGGAGCGUAGCUUAGUUUGGUAGAGCGCCUGCUUUGGGAGCAGGAGGUCGCUGGUUCGAAUCCAGUCGCUCCGA